CCCACGCCUUGACGCCUCAACCUCUUUGCAGUCCCUGAUCUCCAAGCUUGAAUCCCAGCAAUCCGGCAGUCCUUGAUCUCGAAGCUCCUGUUAAAGCCCGUGUCCUGCAUGAUCUGUGCACCGAAGAUAGCAAAGCAAACUACCAUGUUGUUUCUUUCUCUGCACAUGCAGACACAAAAGCCAUGCGACUUCUGUUUGCUCGACGCUUGAAAUUGUUGGUAUUGUAAGUGUGAGCUGUGAAUUCUGACGUCGAUGGUGCAUUCAGAUGCAAUAGUUCUGAUGGAACAUUGUUUUUGUUUAUUUUGGUUUGAUAUCGUUGAACUUUUCAA